CUGCUUGUCUGGAGCUCCAGACGCCUAGGCAAGAGCCCGCUGCGCCCCCUGCGCGCUCCUCCUGCUCGGAGCACGGCUCCUACCUGUAGAGUCCGGACGGGCGCUCCCUCCCCGGGCACCUACACCUUCUCCCCUUUCGGAAAUCUCCCGUCCAGCUACCCGGGUCUCGGACAGGCGGCACUGGGACCACGAGGCAGGGAGCCAGGCUUGAAGCAGGUGACAUGUAGACGUCCCCUGGUCCAGCCUCGGAACCUGAGCGCCCUUCUGCCUGGAAAGUUUGUGGCUAGGCGCCAUGGCCAAGAGCAGCUCCCUGAAUGUUCGCGUGGUGGAGGGCCGCGCGCUGCCUGCCAAGGACGUGGGGACCCUGGGUGCCCUGCGAGUGAAGGUACGCCUGAUUGAGGACCGCGUCCUGCCCUCCCAGUGCUACCAGCCUCUCAUGGAGCUGCUCAUGGAGUCUGUGCAGGGGCCAGCAGAGGAGGACACUGCUAGCCCCUUGGCUUUGCUGGAAGAGCUGACCUUGGGGGACUGCCGCCAGGACCUUGCCACCAAGCUGGUGAAACUCUUUCUUGGCCGGGGACUGGC
rnacentral:sRNA from 1 species